rnacentral:rRNA from 1 species
UAGGGAAUCUUCGGCAAUGGGGGGAACCCUGACCGAGCAACGCCGCGUGAGUGAAGAAGGUUUUCGGAUCGUAAAGCUCUGUUGUUAAGGAAGAACGAGUGUGAGAAUGGAAAGUUCAUGCUGUGACGGUACUUAACCAGAAAGGGACGGCUAACUACGUGCCAGCAGCCGCGGUAAUACGUAGGUCCCGAGCGUUGUCCGGAUUUAUUGGGCGUAAAGCGAGCGCAGGCGGUUAGAAAAGUCUGAAGUGAAAGGCAGUGGCUCAACCAUUGUAGGCUUUGGAAACUGUUUAACUUGAGUGCAGAAGGAGAGAGUGGAAUUCCGUGUGUAGCGGUAAAAUGCGUGGAUAUAUGGAGGAACACCGGUGGCGAAAGCGGCUCUCUGGUCUGUAACUGACGCUGAGGCUCGAAAGCGUAGGGAGCGAACAGG